CCUACGGGAGGCAGCAGUGGGGAAUAUUGCACAAUGGGGGAAACCCUGAUGCAGCGACGCCGCGUGAGUGAAGAAGGUCUUCGGAUUGUAAAGUUCUUUUCUUAGGGAAGUAGAAAGUGACGGUACCUUAGGUAUAAGCCUCGGCUAACUACGUGCCAGCAGCCGCUGUAAUACGUAGGAGGCGAGCGUUAUCCGGAAUGACUGGGUGUAAAGGGUGCGUAGGUGGUUUGGCAAGUUAGUAGCGUAACUCCAAGGCUCAACCGUGGAACGACUACUAAAACUGGUGGACUUGAGUGCAGGAGGGGCAACCGGAAUUCCUAGGGUAGCGGUGGAAUGCGUAGAUAUUAGGAGGAACACCAGUGGCGAAGGCAGGUUGCUAGACUGUAACUGACACUGAGGCACGAAAGCGUGGGGAGCAAACAGGAUUAGAUACCCGUGUAGUC
rnacentral:rRNA from 1 species